GAUGAACGCUGGCGGCGUGCCUAAUACAUGCAAGUCGAGCGAACAGACGAGGAGCUUGCUCCUCUGACGUUAGCGGCGGACGGGUGAGUAACACGUGGAUAACCUACCUAUAAGACUGGGAUAACUUCGGGAAACCGGAGCUAAUACCGGAUAAUAUAUUGAACCGCAUGGUUCAAUAGUGAAAGACGGUUUUGCUGUCACUUAUAGAUGGAUCCGCGCCGCAUUAGCUAGUUGGUAAGGUAACGGCUUACCAAGGCGACGAUGCGUAGACGACCUGAGAGGGUGAUCGGCCACACUGGAACUGAGACACGGUCCAGACUCCUACGGGAGGCAGCAGUAGGGAAUCUUCCGCAAAGGGCGAAAGCCUGACGGAGCAACGCCGAGUGAGUGAUGAAGGUCUUCGGAUCGUAAAACUCUGUUAUUAGGGAAGAACAAAUGUGUAAGUAACUAUGCACGUCUUGACGGUACCUAAUCAGAAAGCAACGGCUAACUACGUG
rnacentral:rRNA from 1 species